GACGUAGGGCGCGAGCGUUGUCCGGAUUUAUUGGGCGUAAAGAGCGUGUAGGCGCCAAGCAGGUCAGCUGUGAAAACUCGAGGCUCAACCUCGAGACGUCGGUUGAAACCGCUUGGCUAGAGUCCGGAAGAGGAGAGUGGAAUUCCCGGUGUAGCGGUGAAAUGCGCAGAUAUCGGGAAGAACACCCGUGGCGAAGGCGGCUCUCUGGGACGGUACUGACGCUGAGACGCGAAAGCGUGGGGGAGCGAACAGG
rnacentral:rRNA from 1 species